rnacentral:misc_RNA from 1 species
GAGGGCUUGGAUAGGUGAAUUGCAGAAUUCCGUGAUCAUCGAAUCCUUUGAACGCACCUUGCGCUCUAUGGCAAUCCGAAGAGCAUGCCUGUUUGAGUGCCAUGAAAUCUCCCACCCCAAGCGGUUUUUAAAUGAAACGGCUUGGCUGAUGGGGUCUGGAUGGGUGCCUCUGCCUGCGCUACCUAUUACAAGCUCUCCCUAGAUGCAUGAGCGCCUUGAGACACUUUGCAUCCGCCUCUCUGUUUGGGAGGAGGCGGCCAAGCAAUGUUUUUCACCUGGACUGGCGUGAGACAUCUUUUGCUAUGUCUCCUAAGCGACGAAGGAUGGGUUUCGUCGGCUUGUGCUUAAAUCUUGCCUCUGUGCAACAUCCACUUUUCACUUCUGGUCUCAAAUCAAGUAAGAUCAGGAACUGAACUUAAGCAUAUCAAUAAGCGGAGGAAAGAAACG